UACAUACUCCCUCCGUUCAGAAUUACUCGUCCAAGAAAUGAAUGUAUCUAGAUGUAUUUUAGUUGUAGAUACAUCCAUUUUUGUGACAAGUAAUUCCGAACGGAGGGAGUACUAC
rnacentral:pre_miRNA from 1 species